rnacentral:rRNA from 1 species
UGGGGAAUAUUGCACAAUGGGGGAAACCCUGAUGCAGCAACGCCGCGUGAAGGAAGAAGGUUUUCGGAUCGUAAACUUCUAUCAAUAGGGACGAAAGAAAUGACGGUACCUAAAUAAGAAGCCCCGGCUAACUACGUGCCAGCAGCCGCGGUAAUACGUAGGGGGCAAGCGUUAUCCGGAAUUACUGGGUGUAAAGGGAGCGUAGGCGGCAUGGUAAGCCAGAUGUGAAAGCCUUAGGCUUAACUUGAGGAUUGCAUUUGGAACUAUCAAGCUAGAGUACAGGAGAGGAAAGCGGAAUUCCUAGUGUAGCGGUGAAAUGCGUAGAUAUUAGGAAGAACACCAGUGGCGAAGGCGGCUUUCUGGACUGAAACUGACGCUGAGGCUCGAAAGCGUGGGGAGCAAACA